GAUGAACGCUAGCGGCAGGCUUAACACAUGCAAGUCGAGGGGCAGCACGUCUUCGGAUGGUGGCGACCGGCGCACGGGUGAGUAACGCGUAUGCAAUCUACCUUUUACAGGGGCAUAGCCCGGGGAAACUCGGAUUAAUAUCCUAUAGUACCAUUAUAUAGCAUUAUAUUAUGGUUAAAGUUUCGGCGGUAAAAGAUGAGCAUGCGUCCUAUUAGCUUGAUGGUAAGGUAACGGCUUACCAUGGCUAUGAUAGGUAGGGGUCCUGAGAGGGAGACCCCCCACACUGGUACUGAGACACGGACCAGACUCCUACGGGAGGCAGCAGUGAGGAAUAUUGGACAAUGGGCGCAAGCCUGAUCCAGCCAUGCCGCGUGCAGGAAGACGGCCCUAUGGGUUGUAAACUGCUUUUAUACGGGAAGAAACACCCCUUCGUGAAGGGACUUGACGGUACCGUAUGAAUAAGGAUCGGCUAACUCCGUGCCAGCAGCCGCGGUAAUACGGAGGA
rnacentral:rRNA from 1 species